UACAUAGGGAGCAAGCGUUAUCCGGAAUGAUUGGGCGUAAAGCGUCUGUAGGUGGUUCAAAAAGUCUACUGUCAAAUACGUUGGCUCAACCAACGGCAGGCAUUAGGGUACUAUUGAACUAGAGUAUGGUAGAGGUAGAGGGAAUCCCUAGCGUAACAGUGAAAUGUGUAGAUUUUAGGGAGAACACCAGCGGCGAAGGCGCUCUACUGGGCCAUUACUGACACUGAGAGACGAAAGCGUGGGGAGCGAACAGG
rnacentral:rRNA from 1 species